rnacentral:rRNA from 1 species
UUAGUACCCUUUAUUAAAAUUAUUAAAAUUUGAUGUUAAAAUUAAUUACAGCCAUGGAAUAAGGUUAUUAUCAAAAAUUUUGUUUUUCUUACCUUUUGUAUAAUGGUUAAAUUAAAAUUAGAUUGUUUAAUUUUUCCCGAAUUGAGAAGAGCUAUUUACUAACUAUUUUUAGAAUAUACACACUUAUGUAGAAAUAUGGGUUUAAGAUUAGUAAAUAGGGGCGAAAUACUUUCAAUUCUCAGGUUAUCUGGAAAUCUGAGAAAAGCAUUUAGUGCUGUAAAGUGAGAUAUAAAGUGUUUAGAUUUUAUAUUUUCAGGAUAGAGGACUUAGAUUAAAAGUUUUCUAGGGUUAAACUCCUGGAUUGUUAAGAAUUAAUUAAUUUUUUUCCUGUUUUAUCUGUUACACUAUCAGAUUUUUCUUAAUAAUUUAAUUAUGAAUUAAUAAUGUUUAAAUUAGUAAUAAGUUAAAGUAAAAAUAAAAUUGGUUUGUUAAAAUUGGUUUUUAUUUAUAAAUAGUUGUAAGGAACUCGGCAAAAAUAGACUUGGACUGUUUAACAAAAACAUAGCCAUUAGACGAUAUUUAUGGUUAAACCUGCCCAAUGUUAGUAAUAAUGAAUGGCCGCGGUACCCUGACCGUGCUAAGGUAGCGUAAUCAGUUGGCUUUUAAAUGGAGUCAGGAAUGAAUGGGAAAACCGGGUUUAGCUGUCUCCCAACUAUUUUCUUGAAUUUACUGUUUAAGUGAAAAAGCUUAAAAAUGAUAAAGGGACGAGAAGACCCUUAGAAUUUUUUUUAAAAUGGAAAUUUUUCUAUAAUAAUUUUGUUGGGGCGACAGAGAAAUAUUUAAAACUUUCUUUAAAUUUACAUGCCGAUAUUGUUAAGUAAGAAUAAAUUACCUGAGGGAUAACAGCAUAAUUCUAUAGUUGAGUUUGUGACCUCGAUGUUGGACUAGGAAACUAACAGGCUAGCCGUUUGUUGUGUGGGUUCUGUUCGAACUCUAAUUCCUACAUGAUCUGAGUUCAGACCGGCGUAAGCCAGGUCAGAUUCUAUCUUUUUAUAUUAUAACUUUAGUACGAAAGGACCGAGUUGUAUUAUUGAUUUAAAUAAAUUUAAUU